AUACGGAGGAUCCGAGCGUUAUCCGGAUUUAUUGGGUUUAAAGGGUGCGCAGGCGGCCAUUUAAGUCAGCGGUUAAAUCGUGGGGCUCAACCCCAUUCUGCCGUUGAUACUGGGUGGCUUGAUUGCGGUCGAGGUUGGCGGAAUUCGUUGUGUAGCGGGGAAAUGCAUAGAUAUGACGAAGAACACCGAUUGCGUAGGCAGCUGACCAGACCGCAAAUGACGCUCAUGCACGAAAGUGCGGGGAUCGAACAGGAUUAGAUACCCUGGUAGUCCGCACAGUAAAUGAUGAAUACUUGUUUUCGGCGAUAUAAUGUCGGAGGCAAAGCGAAAGCGAUAAGUAUUCCACCUGGGGAGUACGCCGGCAACGGUGAAACUCAAAUGAAUUGACGGGG
rnacentral:rRNA from 1 species